UUGGUUUGGUGACCAGCCCCAGCCAAAGUACUUCCGCUCCUGCUACAACUCAGGGAGCCCAAGGUGGAACUGCAAGCUCUACAGGUAGUACCCAGAUGCAUGCCUGGGUACAAGGAGCUAUUGCUAAAAUUAGUAGUACGACUGAUGGUGUUCCGAAUUCUGCUCCAAACCCCAUAAGUGGUCCUUCAACCUUUAUGCCAAUAAGUAUCAAUACAGGAACCUUUCCAGGAACUCCAGCUGUCAGACUUAUUGGAGACUGCCAUUUUCUUCACCGGUUAUGCCAGCUCCUGCUGUUUUGUUUUUUCUUCCGGCGAACACAACUACCCCGUUUUAUUGGAGCUGCUCAAAGAAAUGCUGAUUCAUCUGGCCAAAAGCCUCAGCUUAGUGUGCCAGGCAAAUCAGAAGAGACAAACUC